rnacentral:rRNA from 1 species
AAUGAACGCUGGCGGCGUGCUUAACACAUGCAAGUCGAGCGAGAAGACUUUGAUAGAUCCUUCGGGUGACAGAUGAGUUGGAAAGCGGCGGACGGGUGAGUAACGCGUGGGCAACCUCGCCCCAUACAAGAGGAUAGCCACUGGAAACGGUGAUUAAUACUCUAUAAGACCACAGCACUUCAUGGUGCAGAAGGUAAAAACUCCGGUGGUAUGGGAUGGGCCCGCGUCUGAUUAGCUAGUUGGUAAGGUAACGGCUUACCAAGGCGACGAUCAGUAGCCGACCUGAGAGGGUGAUCGGCCACACUGGGAACUGAGACACGGUCCAGACUCC